rnacentral:rRNA from 1 species
CCCGGCUUAACCGGGGAGGGUCAUUUGGAAACUGGGGAACUUUGAGUGCAGAAGAGGAGAGUGGAAUUUCCACGUGUAGCGGUGAAAUGCGUAGAGAUGUGGAGGAACACCAGUGGCGAAGGCGACUCUCUGGUCUGUAACUGACGCUGAGGAGCGAAAGCGUGGGGAGCGAACAGGAUUAGAUACCCUGGUAGUCCACGCCGUAAACGAUGAGUGCUAAGUGUUAGGGGGUUUCCGCCCCUUAGUGCUGCAGCUAACGCAUUAAGCACUCCGCCUGGGGAGUACGGUCGCAAGACUGAAACUCAAAGGAAUUGACGGGGGCCCGCACAAGCGGUGGAGCAUGUGGUUUAAUUCGAAGCAACGCGAAGAACCUUACCAGGUCUUGACAUCCUCUGACGAUCCUAGAGAUAGGACGUCCCCUUCGGGGGCAGAGUGACAGGUGGUGCAUGGUUGUCGUCAGCUCGUGUCGUGAGAUGUUGGGUUAAGUCCCGCAACGAGCGCAACCCUUGAUCUUAGUUGCCAGCAUUCAGUUGGGCACUCUAAGGUGACUGCCGGUGACAAACCGGAGGAAGGUGGGGAUGACGUCAAAUCAUCAUGCCCCUUAUGACCUGGGCUACACACGUGCUACAAUGGACAGAACAAAGGGCAGCGAAACCGCGAGGUUAAGCCAAUCCC